rnacentral:rRNA from 1 species
CGUGAGAAUCUGGCUUUAGGUCGGGGACAACAGUUGGAAACGACUGCUAAUACCGGAUAUGCCGAGAGGUGAAAGAUUAAUUGCCUGAAGAAGAGCUCGCGUCUGAUUAGCUAGUUGGUGGGGUAAGAGCUUACCAAGGCGACGAUCAGUAGCUGGUCUGAGAGGACGAUCAGCCACACUGGGACUGAGACACGGCCCAGACUCCUACGGGAGGCAGCAGUGGGGAAUUUUCCGCAAUGGGCGAAAGCCUGACGGAGCAAUACCGCGUGAGGGAGGAAGGCUCUUGGGUUGUAAACCUCUUUUCUUAGGGAAGAAAAAAAUGACGGUACCUAAGGAAUCAGCAUCGGCUAACUCCGUGCCAGCAGCCGCGGUAAUACGGAGGAUGCAAGCGUUAUCCGGAAUGAUUGGGCGUAAAGCGUCCGCAGGUGGCAUUUCAAGUCUGCGGUCAAAGGUCGAGGCUCAACCUCGAACAGGCCGUGGAAACUGAAAAGCUAGAGUGUGGUAGGGGCAGAGGGAAUUCCCAGUGUAGCGGUGAAAUGCGUAGAGAUUGGGAAGAACACCGGUGGCGAAAGCGCUCUGCUAGGCCAAGACUGACACUGAGGGACGAAAGCUAGGGGAGCGAAUGGGAUUAGAUAC